AGAUUGCCCUAGCCCCCAAAUAUAUCUGUUCCUGCUGUCAGGCAAUCCAAAAGCCUUAAGGAGACAAAGCCUUUUGUUCUGUAAUUAUGGCAGACAUGAAAUGUAAAGGGCAAAUACCACUGGAAGAAAGAAGUAGACACUGUCUUGAACUCACAGUAAAUUAUUCUGAGAACUGAGUUCAGAGCAGGGCUGGGGGUGAUGGUGAGGGGUGAGAAGAAUCCACAGAAGGAGGAAAGGGCAGGCAGAAAGGGAAGGCUUGGUUCAACCAAAACAAACACUGUUUCUUCCAACUAGUCCUGUUUGGAAGAGCUUUUGGGGUCCAUCUUCCGAAAUCUCCAGAUUGUGGCAAGGACAAUGCUGAGUUAAGCCACAGUUGUUCAUCUGUUCAACAAAGUCUGCCCGUUGUCCGAUCUGCAGCUUUCCGGGGCUGGGGUGUUGAAGAGAACCUGCUGGCUGUGAAACAAAAGGAAAGUUGUUUCAUUUCAUGCCGGUACUUUUCAGUGUGAGCAAGCACAUUUCUUGUCUUUUAAAAAAGGCAUUCUCUUGGAGGAUGUUGAAUUUUUGCCCAGUGAGUUCGGAGCAGCAACCAAGAUUCACACACAUCUGGAAUACAGAGCACCCUAGAGAAGAAGCAGGAAGGAACCUGGAAUAUACUGAAGGCCUACUGUGUGCCGGGCACUACUAUGCUAGGCACUUCCAUCAUUAUUGCAUUCAUAUCAUGAUAACUUUAUAAGUAGAUACCGUUAUUUUGCUCAUCUUGCGGAAGAAAACAAAACCUCAGAGUGGUUCCGUAUCUCACCUGAGGUUCUAUGCUAUACAUAUCCCAACACAGAGUGGCUGAAAACAACACUUUACUAUGGUUGCUUGUGAUCCUAGGGUUGACAGAGCUCCAUUGGGUGAUUCUCACGUGGGUUCUCUCAUGCAGUUGCAGUUAGAUGUCAGCUGUGGCUGUAGUCUUCUGAAGACUCUACUGAGCUGGAUGGCCAAGCACAGUAGAGCGAAAUUUUAUUGAACAAGUGCUGACCUGGGGCUGUCACCUGGGCUGUCAUCUAGAGCACCUGCCUACACAUAGCCUCCCCACAGGAAGUUUGUGUUCCCAGAGGGAUGUCCCAAGAACAAGCAUUCUAAGAGAGCCAGCCAGAAGCUACAAGUCGUCUUCUGCCCUAGCAUCACUUCUGCUGUAUCCUAUUGGUCAAAGUGAACCAGAGGCCUAACCCAGAUUAAAGGAGGGGUGAAUAGACUUCACCUUUUUUUUUUUUUUUUCGGAGACAGAGUUUCACUCUUGUUGCCCAGGCUGGAGUGCAAUGGCGUGAUCUCGGCUCACCACAACCUCUGCCUCCCGGGUUCAAGCGAUUUUUUUUUUCCAGACUUCAUCUUUUAAUGGGAGAAGGCAUAGAAAAGAGUUUGCUGCCUUCUUUAGCCUACUACAUCUACAAAGUGGUGAAGCCAAGAUUUGAAUCCAGGUUAGCCUGACUCCUUCCUUUAGAGACACCUCCAGGCUUCAUUAUGAACCUGCCUAACCACUGAAAAAUGGCCAUUAUUGAUUCUGGUGUUUGCAAAGGAAAUAAGUGGCAAUAUCAACAACACUUAGAUACCUCUUAAUAAAGAGGCCAGUGCAGGCUGCACCAAGCUCCAUUGAGAAGGUCUGAAUCUUCCCACUACCCACUGGAAGCUGUUGUCUUUUUCAACAAAAAGUGAGGAUCUGGAAAUGCCUGCAAGACUUCUGAGGUGCCAGGCAUCCCUCCUUCCACCAUAAGAUGAUGGGCCCUAGCCCAUCAUCUAGGAGAUACUUGAGCCUAUCCCCUAGAUAUCUAGGUUAGGAGUUCUCUGGAAGCUCUGUGAUAAGUGUCAUCUGGAAUCCCGAGCAAAGUUCUGUGAGCUUCAAGAAUAACUUUUUACCAGGUUUCUUUUAAAAAUGAGAGCCCUAGCCAUGUUCCCCAAAACCCAUCCCCGGCUACUGCCCCUGUGGUAACCCACUCUUCUCCAGAGGCUCAUGUGCGUGCUUGUGUUGGGGUCAGCCCUGAUACUGGGUCCCAUGCUGCUCCAAAUCUUUCUGCUGUGCUGUCUGGCACUAUGAGACUAAGGUAAGAAUGCACUUCACUGGAUAUAAGAAAGGCCCACUCGCCCUGGGCCUUGAGUGAGAUUCUGUCAAGGCAGGUCAGUGAAUGAGCAUUCUAUGAAAAGUUGAGUUAUUCUCCCGAGAGGGACUAGAGAAGGUAUAGAAGGUAUUUCCUAUUUUAUUUUUUUAGCAUCCCUUGCAGCUGAAGGGGAGCAGAAUAUACUGCCCGAAAAUAUGCCACUUUGUUGUAUGGGUUAUUUUGAGUUGAAUGCCAUUGAGAAUCAACAGAUGCACAAAGACUUCUCAAAGCUUUCUUUAUCUAAGAGCAGAAACUUCUGAGAAAUGGGAGUUUCCAUCAGUCCUUUCAGGGGAGUUUUAUGGCCAUGAAGAAGAUGGCAAGUCAGCACUGAGAUGAGCCUGCACACACAAACUUUACUAAAAACCCUUAUUGGCCAUUGGCUUCCCCAUAUAUUCACCUUCCCACAAUUAACCACCCCUGGAAGCUCAAAACGCUUUUCCUUUGUCUUGCCACUUCUCCACAAAUACAUUGCCCUUUGUUUGGAUAGUAGAUAAGGCUUGUGGUCUGACCACCUUUCUAGAGUUUUCAUUUCAUUUCUGAGAGGUCUUCUCUAGGCAUAUCAAAUGAACAUUUUUCUCCUGUUCACCUGUCAGCUUAUUUUGCAGGGUCCCAGUCACUGAACCUAAGAGGGUAGAGGAAAAAGGUUUUCUUUCUUCCCCAACACAACUUUGAUUCAUACCUCAAACGUUUAAUUGGCACCUGGUCUGAGGCAGGCACUGCCUUAAACUUCUCAUUCUAAGUACCCCUUUCAUGGCCUCACUACCUUCUCUCCUUUGAGAUGCUCCCAGACCCCACCUUAGGACAUAAAGCCUCCUGCUUCCCCAGUGCCCACACAGGCCCCAGCACCCGGUCAGUGCCCAGCAAGUAUUCAUUCAAUAGAACUCAGCCAGGCAUGAUGCAUCAUGCCUGUAAUCCCAGCACUUUGGGAGGCCAAGGUGGGCGGAUCACUUGAGGUCAGGAGUUUGAGACCAGGCUGGCCAACAUGGCAAAACCCUGUCUCUACUAAAAAUACAAAAAUUAGCCGAACGUGGUGGCAUGUGCUUGUAGUCUCAGCUACUCUGGAGGCUGAGGCACAAGGAUUGCUUGAACUCAGGAGGUGGUGGUUGCAGAGAGCUGAGAUUUUACCACUGCAUUCCAGCCUGAGUGACAGAGUUUCUGUCUCAAAGAAAAAGAAACUUAAAUUUUAGGGAAAGAUUCAAAAGUUGAGGGGAGGAAAUGCUGCAAACUGGAGAGUUAAAAGCGAAUUAUUCUUUAGACAGGGGCCUCAAAAUCACCUCAAUCAAUAUUACUGAAUAAUUAAGCAAACUUUACAUUCACACUCUUGGCAAACAAAAGGAUUUUUCUAAUAAGCUAAUCAUUAGAAGAGAUUGCAAGAGGAAGUUUAACUUAAUUAAGAGGAUAGUUCACAAACCUGUUGUUUUAUCCAUUUCCAAAUAAUAGGCUUACUUACAAAUUUCAAGUGUGCCUUAGGAAUUUAUUAAAGAAGUCUAAAACUUGUCAUUAGGCAAGAUUUUGUAUCAGUAAGUUUAUGUUCACCCUUAAACAGUGAAUACCUUUUAAGUACCCCAAUCCUAACUUUUUGCCAAUUCAAAAUAACCUUAACUUUUUCCACACAUAGUACGUUGAGAAGUGUCCUUGCAAAGCAUCUUAAGAAUGUAGCUUAGUGUCUUCUUUUGUCAAACAGAGAUAGUAGCUAGGUGUGGUGGCAUGCACCUGUUGUCCCACCUACAGUGGAGGCUGAGGCAGGAGGAUCACUUGAGCCUAGGUGUUCUGGGCUGCAGUGAGCUGUGACCAUCAGGUGUUUGCACUAAAUUUAGCAUCAAUAUAGUGAUCUCCCAGGAGCAGGGAACCACCAGGUUGCCUAAGGAGAGGUGAACCAACCCAGGUCAGAAAUGGAGCAGGUCAAAGUUCCAGGGCUGAUCAGUAGUGGGAUGGUGCCUGUGGAUAACCACUGCACUUCAGCCUGGGCAACAUAGUGAGACCCUCUUUUGUGUAUGUGUGUGUGACAGGGUCUUGCUCUGUCUGCCAGGCUGGAGUGCAGUGGCACAAUAUCGGCUCACGGCAACCUCUGCCUCCUGGCUCAAGCGAUUCUCCUGCCUCAGCUUCCUGAGUAGCUGGGAUUACAGGCGUGUGCCACCAUGCCCAGCUAAUUUUUGUAUUUUUAGUAGAGAUGGGGUUUCACCAUGUUGGCCAGGCUGGUCUCGAACUCCUAACCUCAGGUAAUCCUCCCACCUCAGCUUCCCAAAGUGCUGGGAUUACAGGCGCGAGCCACUGCACCUGGCCAAUGUGACCCUCUUAAAAAACAGAAAUAUUAAUGGCACCUCUAUUGUAGGAUGGUCACCGAGAAUUCAGUGAGAUUGUGACAGGGAAAAUAUUUUGGGAAAUUUUUAAAGCUUUUUUUUUUUUUUAAACACUCUGUAUUUAUGUCCUAUAUCUGUUGGCCUUCUCCCAUUUCGUCUGUAGUCUUUUACUGCCUUGCAGCAUUCAUUGCCUCAGGACAAAUGACAUGACAGAAAAGCAGCACAACAGUUUAGGAGCCGUCAGAAGAAAGCCUUUUGAACUGCAAAGUUUAAGUCUGGGCCUGGUGCAGUGGCUCAGGCCUGUAAUCCCAGCACUUUGGGAGGCUGAGGCUGGCAGAUCACCUGAGGUCAGGAGUCUGAAAUCAGCCUGGCCAACAUGGCGAAACUCCAUCUCUACUAAAAAUACAAAAUUUAACUGGGCUUGGUGGCAGGAUCUGUAGUCCCAGCUACUUGGAGGCCGAGGCAAGAGGAUGGCUUGAACCUGGGAGGUGGAGUUUGCAGUGAGUCGAGAUUGUGCCACUGCAUUCCAGCCCGGGUGACAGAGCAAGACUAUCUCAGAAAAAAAAAAAAAAAAAAAAGUCUAAGUCUGAAAUAAUUGAAGGUGUCAAGUUUGUGCCCUAAAUAUUGGAACUGGAAAAACAAAGAGAUUGCCCUGUCUCCAGGAAUAUGGGAUUAUCAGGACUAUGGAAGGGAGGAAAGAAGCAAAGGGAGGCAGAAAGUUGGCAGAGUCCCUGAGAGUGGGGCCUGCACCUUGCUCCUUGCCCAGGGACUUGAUCUGGAGUCCCUGAUGUGCAAUGAUGAGUGACAGGAAAGCAGAGAGGACUGGUGCCUCCUGUCUCCAGGGCAGAGGAAUUGUUUGCAAAAUGUGCUCAGACAGAGAGGCUCUAGGUCAGAACCAGGUGCUGGAAACAGUGGCUUGCUGCCUGUGAACUACGAAGUGGUUUUGAGGUAGCAAAGAGAGUGAUGGGUUUUAGAUAUGGAGUAAAGGAGGACCAUCAGGCAGAAGCCUGCAAGAAUGUCAGCCCUCACACUGCAACAUAAUGACAGGUGCCACUGUGGAUAGAUGAGCAAACGCAACAGCAAGUCCUAGCUACCGCCCAUCACCUGGGAACUUAGACAAAACUUGGGAUAGGGCAGGGACCCAAAUCAAUGAAAUAAGGAUGCUGCCACCUAGGAGAAUGGACAUUCAAAAUAGAAAUUAAAGUCAUUUAUAGAAAAAGUAAAUACAAUUGCAUCAUUGCUCAAUUCUACACUUCUCAUCCAGACCUUGAGAUUUGCUCUUACUCUGAGAUAAUGCAUGUAGGUGCUUGAUAUAUAACAUAUGCUCAGUAAAUGCUAGCUACUAUUAAUAUUAUUGUUACCUUUGAUCCCAGGACAAGACCCUGAAGAAAGUCUUUGCACUCUUUAAAGAAAGUUCCAUUACUUUCUUUUAGAGAAUCAAGGAAGGAAAGGGGGGUCAUUUUAUUCCUCCCAAAGGACACUCAGGUUUGUCACAUGAACAGUCAUGGUGGGAAAAUGGGUAAUCAACAACCAGAGAGGACAUCUGUGGAGCGUCUUUAUGACUGAUAGAGUAAGUUCCCUAUGUCCCAGUUUGUUGUGGGAAGUUAGGUGGAGCCAUGUGACUAAUUCUAGCCCAUGCAAUGGAACAGAAGUCAAAUAUGCUAUUUUCCUGCACACUAAAACUUCUCUCCAACCAAAAACAAAGUACCCUGAGGGCCCAGCAGACAGGCAGAACCAUGAGAGAGGAGGAGCCUGGGUUUCUGAGAAGCUCCCUGGAGAAGAGCCCCUUGGAGGCAGCCAACUAGGACACAGGUUGGGCUGUUCCUAAGUUAGAAAUAAGCUUUUCUUGGGUUAAGCCAUUAAAACGUUGGGGCUGUUUGACACAGCAGUCUAUCCUGAUACACACUAUACAAAUACUAGAGUAUGUUCAGUGAGUUCCUGUCAACAGGAUUGUGGGUUCCCCACCCCCAUACCCCUCUCCCACCCCUGCCACCACACUUCAUCCUUCACAGCAGUCUCCUCGGAAGCCAGAGAGUGAGUGGGUACGACUGUACCUUAUUUGCCUGGUAAAUGUUCUUCCAGAUUUAGACAUUAACAAGAGUGAGCAUAAGUUGGUUUCAUUUUUAGGAACUUGAAAAUCCUAGAUUUGAGAGCAUUUUUAGAAAUAAAGGCACAUUUGUAGUCCUUUGGCCCAACCAUUAAAACAAGCAAGGAGAAAACCGAACCCUUGACAGGGACUGGUGUAAGGCCACAGAGCUGGAUAGUACUGACGCCAAAACCAGGACCCACUUCUUCAGAGCUGCCUUCAAUGUGCCUCUAGGUACUUUCAAAUGUCCAGCAUAGCAUCACAUUGACAAACUUCAAGAUUGGACCAAAGUGGACUAAAAUUCUGGCUCCACCUCUUACCAGGUGGACCAUUUUAGGAUUAGCAUUUAACUUCUUUGAGGGUCAGUUUCCUUAUCUGUAAAAUGGAAAUAAUAAUAGUAAGAGUACUUUCCUCCUAGUGUUGUCAUGGCAACUAAACAGCUCCAUGAAUUUAAAGUGCAUAGCACAAGGGCCAGGCAUGGUAGUUCACGCCUAUAAUCCCAGUGUAUUGGGAGGCCAAGGUGAGAGAAUCUCUUGAGGUUAGGAGUUCAAGAUCAGUCUGGGCAACAUAGUAAGAGCCUGUCUCUACAAAAAAAUUUUUUUUUAAUUUGGGACAUGAUGGCACAUGCCCUGUAGCCUUAGCUACUCAGGAGGCUGAAGCAACAAGAUGGCUUGACCCAGGAUGUCAAGGCUACAGUGAGCUAUGAUCAGACCACUACACUCUAGUCUGAGUGACAGAGUGAGACCCUGUCUUUAACAAAAUCAAAUUAGAUUAAAAAGUUCUUGGCACACAUCUGACUCUAAUAAAGUCUUAGUAUGUUAGUUUCUGCUAUUACUUAAAAUAAUACCAAAGUUGUAUGAAAAUAAUGGGGCAAUCUUAACAGAACCACAUCACACACAGCUUCAGGAUUAUUUCCUCUGGGAACAGAAUUAUGCAUUCCCUGCUCAUGCUUUAUUUGGGGCACUGGUUCCUUAUCCUAUAGGUAGGCCUGACUCCCUCUACCAGAUGGCAAACUUCCUGUGGCCUUUCUGUAUCCUUCAGGGCAUAGGAGUGUGACUUGCACUAAAGCUUGUUGGGGGCCGGAGCCUAGCAUGGGGAAGAUGAUUGCAAACAGGCAUGGGAGUCCCUAACACCCUAUUCUUGGCUAGGGUCCCCAUUCCUACCUCCUGCUUCAGAGCUCCAGCUCCUGCUUUGAUGAAGAGAAGGCAGCCACUCCUGGCUGUGUAACUGAAUGACCGUUAUUAAAUAUGUUGGGGCUUAGAAAGUGAUAUCCUAAAAUACGGUGCUUUGACAUGCUGGACUGAAGCAGCCUCAAGGUCUCUCUUUUUUUUUUUUUUUUUUUUUGAGACGGAGUUUCACUCUUGUUACCCAGGCUGGAGUGCAAUGACGCGAUCUCGGCUCACCGCAAUAUCCAGUGCCCGGGUUCAAGUGAUUUGCCUGCCUCAGCCUCCCGAGUAGCUGGGAUUAGAGGCAUGCGCCACCACGCCCGGCUACUUUUGUAUUUUCAGUAGGACGGGGUUUCUCCAUGUUGGUCAGGCUGGUCUCAAACUCCCGACCUCAGGUGAUCCGCCCGCCUUGGCCUCCCGAAGUGCUGGGAUUACAGGCGUGAGCCACCAUGCCCCGCAAGGUCUCUCUGACCUCCCCGCCACUCCCUGCCUAGUACUGUUUCUCAAUUCUCUGUCUCUUCCAAAGCACAGGAUAAAUUGUUCUCCCAAGAUCCCUUAUCUGCCUAAAGUUCAGACUCACCAAAGAAGACAACAAUGACCUCUAGUCCCUUUCCCAAGUUUUCAUUAACUGAACUCAUAUUGCAGGAAGAAAGACUGACGUCUGUCAACACACCUAGACAGACUUUUGUCACAAACCUGCUCUGCAGGCUCAACAGACUUUGUCCCAGGCCAUUGUAUGCUCUCCAAGUCCAUUUAUUUUCCCCUAAAAAUUAUUUACUGUCCUUUGAAUUGCCACAUUUCUCCCAUCUCCCUUCUCCUGUGAAGAAGGGUGUAUAAGCAUCUGUACGUUGUUGGAUUAUUGAGUAAUUAUUCUUCAAUUCCCCCGAGCUGUAUACCUAAAAAUAAAAAUUUGUAUACCUUUUCUCCUAUUAAUCUGCUUUGGUCAGUUGAUUUUCAGCAAGCCUUUAGAGGGCGAAGGGGAAAGUUUUCUCUUCACCCCUUGAUAUGGUUUGGAUGUUUUGUCCCCUCCAAAUCUCAUGUUGAAUGUGAUCCCUAGUGUUUGGAGGUGGGCCUAAUGGGUCCACCCACUAGUCAUGGAGGUGGAUCCCUCAUGAAUGGCUUGGUGCUGUCCUCAGGAUAAUGAGUGAGUUCUCACUCUUGAGUUCACAUGAGAUCUGGUUGCUUAAAGAAGGGUGUCACCUCCCUGCUCCCCACUCCUGGCCUUGCUCCUGCUCUUACCGUGUGACAUGCUGGCUCCCCCUUCACUUUCCACCAUGAUUGGAAACUUCCUGAGUCCCUCACCAGAAGCUGAGCAAUGUUGGUGUCAUGCUUCUUGUACAGCCUGCACAACUUUGAGCCAAUUAAACCUCUUUUCUUUACAAAUAACCCAGUCUCAGACAUUCCUUUAUAGCAACACGAGAACGGAUUAACACACCCCUACCCUAGAGAAGACUUUGACCUUGAGGAGGUCUAGAGAAGGUAGUAGCCACAGAAAUGCGUGGCCACCAACAAGCAAACCUAAUUUCUAGGCUCUCGCUAUCAAUCCAUUCAGUCCUCAAGGCAAGAACUUCUAUGAAAACCAGAAGACUGGAAAACCUUGCUAAUUCUAGCUACUUGUUCUAGGGGUUACAAUUCCCAUUUGGGUACACGUAUCUCUAGAAGCCAGGCUUGCUCUCAGAACCUUGACCACUUCAUACCACACCCCCAGGGGACGGGGAGCUUGGGAGCAUGAAAUUCAGAUUAAACUGGCUAUAGCUCUGGAAAAGGGAGAGAUUGGAAACUACUCCUCUAAGAAUCAGUUUCUCUAUUCGUUGAUUGAUUAGCAUUUGAGGAUUAUCCAGGAAUCAGAAUAUUCCAAGGCUGCUUCUGCCAGUUAGCAGUAAAACUUCAAAUUUCCUUGGCCUAGGCUCCUGCUUGCAUAACCCUGAACUUUGACCUCCCACUUUCAUUUUAGGAGGCCUCAGUGGUGCACCAUGAGCUCACAGAUGACUUGGCCAUGGAAGCCAAGGCAAGCAUUGGCAUGUCCAUUUCUACCAGUCUGUGAGGAAGCCGAGGUCCCAGUCCAGGGCAUCAACCCAGGGAUCCUGGGCUGCCAGCCUUAGAGAUGACAACUGUGCAGCCAUCAUCCCUGGGACCCUCACUACUCAGCGAGCCAUGUUGUGUACCCCUUUAGGGGGUGCAAUGAACAUCUCCCUAGCCCACAUGGCACAGUGACCCUUUUGUACCCAAGCAGCCUCUGCCAAUGCCACUCUGCACAGUUCAGGUUCAGAUACCAGGCCAGAGCCUGUCACAGGGUAGACCCAUGAAUGUAGCAGGGUGCAAAACUGAUAUUUUUUAGCUAAAGAAGCAUGAAGUUAAAGGCUGCCAGCACCUCCCAGGACUUGGUUGAAACAGGAAGUCAUCUUGGAGCAUUUUUUUUUUUUUUUUUAGAAAUGAGGUCUUGCUGUAUCGCCCAGCUUGAACUUGAACUUUUGGGCUCAAGGGUUCCUCCCACUUCAGCCUCCCCAGUAGCUGGGACUACAGACGUGCUAUCACCUCACCUGGCAAGAUUUUUUACUACCUCACCUGGCAAGAUUUUCUUUAUUCUAUGACAAUACCUUCAGUGGCCCCUUCUAGUCAUGUAAAUGUGAAGGCUAAAAGGUGCUCCCUGCCCUGGGAAAAGGGUGCAGCACCAUCUUCUGUAGAAGACAAAGGCCUGUCUACCAUCCUUGAUAUGCAGAGUUGGUUUCAAGCAAAGAGGGGGCCAAUUUACAAAGACGCACAGGAUCUUCUAGGGCUUGGGCAUGCUGAUGUGGCUGAUAAGAAAGGAUGACAGGAGUUCACCUCCAGGGAGGCAGUGCCUGACCAUGGCCUGGGAUCAGUCAGAAACGCUGAGAGAUUGCCUGGUUCUGCCACUUUGAGUCUUCCGCAGCUACCCUGCAAAGAAGCCUGGCUUUGAGAAUAGUGAUAGGGCAUGAACCCACAGAACAGAGGACCUUGUGAAAACAACCAGUUCAAAAUCUGAGAUGUUAAAACUUUAUUUUAAGCCUAAAGAAUAUGAUUAUGGGGCCUGAGACGUGAUAGGUGGCUGAAACCUAGGCAGCUGUAACCUGUGUUUCUCUAAUCACAGAUAAGCCUUCUUCCUUACCUACAUUAUUUUGUAAAAUGUUAUGAAUGACUAAAGGGCACCAGGGAAAAUCCUUUCCCUCUUACUGUUUGUCUUCAUUAUAGAUAAACUUUCUUCUUACCUCUCUCACACAGAGACUUCAUGGUGAUCACGUUAUCUAAAACGGAUUGUUAAAGCUAUUUUAAAUCGGAAAGGACAUGAAAACAAGCCCUAAGGGAAGGAAAAAAACUAACAAAUUGUCGUAACUCAUAAACCAUUCUUGUAUAGAAAAUGUUGUAAUCCUGUUAAAUUUCUUUGUUUCCUUCCUAUAUAAGCAAGAUUUGAACUUUAUAACUUAGGUGCACUGACCCCAUUUCUCUGGAGUCUGUGUUAUCUGAAUGACUAUUCUCAGCCUUUCACGUGAAUAAAUGCUUUAAACUGGC